GUCUUUUUGAAAAUAAUUUAAAGUCUAAUCUGCCCACUGAUGAAAAUUAAAGGGCUGCAGUAUUUUGACUGUACAAAGGUAGCAUAAUCAUUAGUCUCUUAAUUGGUGACUUGUAUGAAGGAUUGGAUGAGAUAUAAACUGUCUCUAAAAUAUUUAUAAAAUUUAAUUUUUUAAUUAAAAAGUUAAAAUAAAUUUAAAAGACGAGAAGACCCUAUAGAGUUUUAUAAAUUUAAUAAUAAAUAAAUUAUUUAUAAAUAGAAAAUAAAAAUUAUUAAAUUUAUUUUAUUGGGGUGAUAGAAAAAUUAAAUAAACUUUUUUUAAAAUAAGACAUAAAUAAGUGAAAAAAAGAUCCAAAAUUUUUGAUUAAAAGAAAAAAUUACCUUAGGGAUAACAGCGUAAUUUUUUCUUUUAGUUCAUAUAAAAGAAAAAGUUUGCGACCUCGAUGUUGGAUUAAGAUAAAAUUUAAAUGCAAAAGUUUAAAAUUUUGAUCUGUUCGAUCAUUAAAAUCUUACGUGAUCUGAGUUCA
rnacentral:rRNA from 1 species